CACGUAGGGCGCAAGCGUUGUCCGGAAUUAUUGGGCGUAAAGAGCUCGUAGGCGGUCUGUUGCGUCCGCUGUGAAAACUCGGGGCUUAACCCCGCAGCCUGCAGUGGAUACGGGCAGACUAGAGGUAGGUAGGGGAGAAUGGAAUUCCCGGUGUAGUGGUGGAAUGCGUAGAUAUCGGGAGGAACACCAGUGGCGAAGGCG
rnacentral:rRNA from 1 species